rnacentral:lncRNA from 1 species
CAUUAUAGUUUAGUAGCGUAUGAUACUCCCACUAUUUGUUUUAAGAAAAACAAAUCAACAUCAAAAACGAAUUUUUCAAAUAUUGGAAGUAACUACUACUACUAAGGUUUUUGCAUUCCUUUGAAAUUGGACUUUAUAGUUAUCUUAGGCUCUUGGAUAACCAUGGACUUAUUAGGUUAUUGCAACAACGAGCCAACAUUGUUGAAUAAAAACUCGGGGAGGUUGUGUCAAUUUAAUUACGUGCUUUUCAAUCCAAUUAAAACAUUUUCAUUGAGCCAUUAGAAAUGAAAGACAAUCAUUCAUUGCUAAUUAGGGCGUUGGACCCAUUUAAUCUUUAAUCUCAUGUCAAAGCCCUCUUUUAGUUAUGUAUCCUUACCAAUAGUUAAAGAAACUCUAGUCUAGCACUAGAGGGAAUCAACUAACUAAAAGAGAUUAAGGAGUAAUAAGAAUUACAAACCGAUUUGUACAAAUUCCUACAAAUUAUACAUACUAAGAGGGAGAGAUAGAUUAAUGUCCAACGUGACAAGGUCCAAUUGAAACAGUAAUUAAAACACAUUCCCAAGGUUCAAACAAUUUGAUUUUAGCGCCUUAUCUCAUAGCUCAAUUAUCGUUUAAGGCAUAAGUCCAUAGUCACCAAUUUUUCUAACUACUUAAUCAUAUGGAAUACAACAUAAACAUUUAGAUUUAGUGCAUAUGGGCAUAAUAGUAUUAUGAGUUUAAACAACUAACAAAAUUAAAAUCAUAUAUUUUAACUUUCUAGUUAGUAAGGGCCUAAAUGCAAAUAUGAAAAAGUUAGGGGUAAAACCGUAAAUACUUAAAAAUAUAAAUAUCAACUUUUCAAAGAUUACAAAAUAGCCCCACAAGUGGGUAAUCCACUAGGGGAGGCCGGCCAUAACAAGGUGAGAUGGGAAGUCUCACCCAUAAUGCUUUAAUUCAAUGCAAAGUAGAAAAAAUUAAAUUUUGCUUGUCACUUGAUUUUGGCUUCAAAGACUUUAUUAAAAGGGUAAUGGAAAUCUCCUAGUCAAGUCUAGGAUUUAAUAAAUUUUUGAUAUGGUUAUGGAUGGUAUGUACAUCAUCCAAAACCACAAAACAAUGCAUGAAAACCAAAUAAAACCAUUUUCACCAAAAAGCAAACCAUGAACACCAAAAACAAAACCAUGAACACAUUUUCAAGAUUUGUACAUUCUUGGUGAUUUUUCAAACCCAAAAACAAAAGUGACAAGGUUUCUACUUUCUAGCUUUAAAGUGUGUGUGUGUGAUUCAAAAAAAAACACAAACACAUAGCCAAAAACAUCUUUAUGCCGUGCCCUCCCUAAGAGUCAAAAACCCCAAAAGUUGUUCUAAACUCAUUCUUCAUUCAUGCAUACAAAACACUUUUUGCAUACAUAUCUUUCUCAACUAUUGAUUCACAUUUUUCAACUAUUGAAAAACAAAAGAUAAACAUACUUUGAAUGAAGCAAUAAUCAUGUCAUACAUAAUAUUAAAACCCAUAUGUAUAAAAUCCAAAAGGACACAUAAUAUAUAAACCUUUGGCUCUGAUACCACUUGAAGGGAAAUUUAUGAGAUUUCAUGUGGGAUUUCAUAUGACUAGCAUGCAUAUACAAUUCAAAAUUUAUAUACGAAAGCAACGGAAGCAUGUUAUCACAUAAUAUCAAAGCUAUAGUCAUGCAAAUCCCCUUCAAGGUUCAUAGGUUUAUAUAAGAUGCAUCAAAACAUUUAAUUGAAGAACAAAGUGUAGGAGUAGAUAUAUACCUCUUGAUCUAGAUUUUAGACCAAGGAUGGACCACCUCCAAGCCCUUUGUUCCUUGAACUCCUUGAGCCUAGCCUCCCUCCUUGCCUCCUCCACUUUGUUAGAAUGAGUGCUCCUUGGUUCUCCUUUAGUCUCCAAAGUAGAAGACCUCUAAAGAUCCACACCCACUAGUGUAGUGAGAAUGAUGAAUGAAUAACCAAAAAGGAGAGAAGAAGAUUAGUUCAAACUCCCGUAUGGUGGCCGGCCUUUUGGGUGUUAAGAGAGAGAUAUUUUCUUUUCUCUUUUGUUGUUUUGAACACACAAAAAACCCUUUUUGAAAAAUAUCUCUAUAAAGUUCCUUUUAUAGACAAAAAGAAACCUAGUCAACAACUUGACUUCCUCUCUCUCCCUUUCCCUUUAAGUGGCCGGCCUCCUUAGUGUUGUUUGGGCUUUUGGGCUUUUAUCAUUUCAAGUCAUCUUAUGCUUGAAUAAAAGCCCAAUGGGUUUAGGCCCAAUGAGCCCAAUUAAACCCAAACGUUUCUUUAAGCCCAAAACAAUCUUUUAUCGCUUUUGUGAUUUCAUUAGACUUUCUAAUUAAUCACAACACUUAAUUAAUCCAAUUAAUUAUUUCCAUCAUCCAUUAGUUGUAUCACUACAAGAGUGUAUCGGUGUACAAUCAUUUUAGGUUCUAAUUAGCAAGGUAGUGAGGUGAUUGGCAUCAAUCCAAUUGAUUAUAUUUAAUCCAAUCACUUAGUGAAUUAAAACUUACUUUUAAUUCACCUUCUUCUUUGAUGACUACAUUUAAUCAUCUAGAAGAACUCACAAGCCAUGAGUGACAUGUAACCAUAUAUCAUGGCUAUCCAAGCUAAUGUAGAAGUUGUUCGGAGAACCUAUUCAGUUGGAAUUACAAUGUAA